GUGGAGACAAUGGGACGGAAGAAAAGUCCUCCAAGGAAUUCCCACAGGCAAAGCCUGUGUGUUUUCCUUAUGGGAGCCAGUGCUUUCAAACCCCCAAACCAUGGCAGCUACAUGUACAGGAUUAAUUAAGUACCUUCCUUUUUUCCACGUGAUUUCUCCAAGUUCAAGGGAAAUUGCAUACUGAAAAGCAAACCCAACAUCAACUCCUGAGACGACUGUUAGAUACCAUCUCUGUUUCUCCUCUAGCAACAUAACGAGCCUUUCCUCUUUCCCUCCACCUCAAAAACAAACAAACUGAAAACUUCACCCAGCAAAGCCCCGACCGGCGCAGGACGUCCUCGGCGUAUUCCCAGACUCCGGAACAGGGAUAAGCACAGCUCCGCACACGUUUAGAAAACGAAGAGGAAUAGAAAAUCUGUACUAACCCGACAGCUUCCUUUCUGUGACUAUUCAUCCUUCACAAUCCAACAGGACACACCAGCCAGUAAACAAACAUGGAAGGGAGGGACCAACUUCAAAGCAACUGUGUAAAUCUUACAUAAUUUGAGGGUUUGAGAUCUUGCAGCAACCUCUUACCCAAGGAGGUGUCAGAUGAUCCAAGGAGGUCAGACCUGUAGCAGCCACAGUAUAAAACUGAUUUCUGGGCAUCUGCAGAGAACAUCCCGCAACCGUGGAAGAAGUGAGGAUACAGCCCUGAAAACCACUUCCCUCUCAUAGAAAGGAUUCUCCAAGAGGUACUUUUCCUGCCAUCCUGGAUUUCCAAGUGUCUUCUAGCCAAAACCAUUGCUUUGAGCUAAAUAAAGCAACUGAGCACUGAAGCCCAGACAUUUCUUGAAGAGAAGGAAUUAAAAGGCUCCACGUCUCGCUUCUCCAGACAGGAGAGUGCAGUCACGGUUGGAAGAAGCAGGAAAGAAAGGAACAGGUCCCCCACCUUUGUUACGGGCCUCUUGCGAGGAGGGAUCACAGAGAAGUCCUGUUUCUUAAUGCCAAAGCUAUUUUUGUUCUUGUAUUAGGCACUUAAUGAAUAAUUAUGCAAAGACUUUAUUCACAUGGCAUCUCCACAGUGCACGUCUCCUUCUUCCUCCUUUUGGAAACUCAGCUUCCCUUCAAGACUUUAAAAAAUUUGGACCACGUCCCAGCACAUAUAAAUUUUUCCUCCUCUACAGAACACAUCGAAGCCCUCACCUCUCUCCCAAGCCUGUGAUUUUCCACUCGGAGCUGCGCUGCUGUCUCCUCUCCGAGUGGCAUUACGAGCUGACCACAAGGAUCUGGAGUGGGAUCCCUAAUCUCCUGCUAAGAAGCUUUUGCACUUAAACCCUUGAUGCCAUCAUUAGUGGUUUCGGCGCUCGCGACGUUACGGCCGGACUGUGCUCGAUGCCAGGACGAUAAGGGCAAAGCUAAGUGCAUCAGGUACACGGUUAACUCAAUGGGCAAAGAUUAGGGGAUGAUACUAUUUUUUAUUUUUUCCCCAAUAAGGCUUAUUUACUAUUAAUUCCCACCCGUGAUCUUAUUUAAUUACAACAUGUUCCACCUGAAGUUGUUUGUAAGAUUAAUGCCCAAGUCGCAGCGAUACGCCUCAAGGAGACCUGCUCUCCCAGCCCUUAGGUUUUACAGGGAAGGUUCUCCUCCUGCAUCCACGCCUCUGGCAGAAGCAGAAACAUCCUCUUUGGGAAAAAAAAAAAUACCAACAAAUCACUGUAUUUGCAAGUCCAAAGGGACGCGCUGUCUAGGCUUUAAUGGGAACACGUAUGGCUGAGCCCAGGCAGUGCCUGGAUUUUUCCUUUGAUCACUGUAAUGACUGGUAUUUUUUCAGGAAGCGUUCAAUACAGCCUUCCUCUUCUGCUAUUCAUCCCUCCACGUGAAUAUUCAUUAGAAAUUAUUAAACUGCCCUUUAUUCCAAAGGUCUGUACGACAGGGAUCCUCUCCCCCACCUCUGGUGCCUGCGGUGUCUGUCUCUCCAUCUGAGCUGACUCCACCAUUGCUGCAGAUAAGCGCUUCCAGACUACGAUCCCUCUAAUCUAUUUUAGCCAUGAUUCACAUCCGAGCUGUGUGUGUCUCCCAGAGGAAGGGGAAUCUGGACCACUUGUGCAGAGGGAGGCAGCCACCACAGCCCAUGGCACCACACGUUUCCCUGUUUUCCUUGGCUUUCUCGGGGCUGGUUUCCCCUUGCUCUCCCAGUGUACAGCACAAAGAGAACACGAGGCACAAUUCUUCCUGCCUCCAGGAUCCCUCAGACUAAGACCAGCCUCUGAGCAGUUACACGGGCAGCUUCAACUUCCCUGACCUCAGCUAAUUCUUUCCUUCCCUCAGCCUACUCAAGAUGAUUAAGCAAAAUACUUGGAAGGAAAUCAAAGUCUUAAAAACGCAAUUAGAAGUGACCAUUUUGUUAAUACGUGCACACACAACCCCAAAGUCAAACCCAAUCCAACAGCACCUGACCUUCGGGAAAACAGCAAUUUUUAGCAGCUCCCACGGACUUAAGGAACAGCCUAAAGUCUCCCACAAUGCUGGUAGGAACAGUGCCUUCCACAUAGCUCAGGUUUUUCCCACCAUUCCUAAAAAAGAAGGUUAGGAAGACAUCAAAUCACCAAUUCUCACACCAGACACCGACUCCCACAGACCUGCAGCUGUCCAGGGGUGUCUUAAAAAUAUCAUUUUUAACACGCAUCCUUCCACACACCCAGAUCUUCCUCCCCCAGCUGAGAAAAAGGCAAGUUCACAGGAGGGACUGGAUUCAGCUGCCACAAAUCCUCAUAUUCUGAAGAAAAGAUUCUGAUCUCAUUGCAAGAAACCUUUAAAGCAUUGAAAUAAUAAUGAUCUCUUUAACAACAAUAAAGUCGUUUGAAAUUACCAAUAAAGUUGUUUGAAAAUAGUUAUCAUAGUAAUGAAACAGAAAUGUUUUUCUAGGGCAAUUUCCACUUCACCCAUCCACCACAUAUUUUUAAGACUCCCUUCCCGAAAUUAAUUUGAAAAAAGAUUUUAUUUUUCUCUGCCUGCAAAGAAUCAAAUGCACUUUGAGAAAGCAGCAGUUGAGCUUCUGUGCCUCGACACAGAAACAAAGCCUGACAGCCCAGAUUUAGAUAACACCUACUUCUGCACAUUUAGGAAGAGGCUUAAUUGCUUUGUCAUUUAGAGCCAGCAAUUACCAACUAUUACUGGGAGUGCGGCGGGGGUGGGGGUAUUAAUUGCAGCCAAAUGUCCACUCUUUUUUGGGCAGCUCACACCAAGAAAAUUAUGUACUAAAUAAAAAAGAAAUUAAAACUCCUCUUUGUUA